UUUGAUGUCAAAUUCAGGAUUUCAUUUAUGCAUUCAGAUUUCUCCAUCACUCUCCAGUUCACCCUUUAUCAUGAGUAACAUCGACAACUUCUGAUGCUUACCAAGAGCAGGCUCAGAAUGGCUUCAAAAUACCCCAAGAGAAAAGCAAAACUUGC